GUGAGGAAUAUUGGUCAAUGGGCGAGAGCCUGAACCAGCCAAGUCGCGUGAAGGAAGACGGCCCUACGGGUUGUAAACUUCUUUUGCAAUGGAAUAAAAAGAGUUACGUGUAAUUCAUUGUAUGUACAUUGCGAAUAAGGAUCGGCUAACUCCGUGCCAGCAGCCGCGGUAAUACGGAGGAUCCGAGCGUUAUCCGGAUUUAUUGGGUUUAAAGGGUGCGUAGGCGGAUUGGAAAGUCAGCGGUGAAAGUUUGCAGCUUAACUGUAAAAUUGCCAUUGAAACUGUCAGUCUUGAGUGCAAAUGAGGUAGGCGGAAUGUGUUGUGUAGCGGUGAAAUGCAUAGAUAUUACAUGGAAUACCAAUUGCGAAGGCAGGUUACUACUUGUGGAUUGACGCUGAUGGACGAAAGCGUGGGGAGCGAACAGGAUUAGAUACCCUUGUAGUCC
rnacentral:rRNA from 1 species